ACUGAAUAGAUACCCUGGUAGUCCAUGCUGUAAACGAUGAGAACUAGAUGUUAGGGGGCAUGACCUCUUAGUAUCGAAGCUAACGCGAUAAGUUCUCCGCCUGGGGAGUACGGCCGCAAGGUUAAAACUCAAAGAAAUUGACGGGGGCCCGCACAAGCGGUGGAGCAUGUGGUUUAAUUCGAUGCAACGCGAAGAACCUUACCUACCUUUGAAUCCACGGAACCUAGCAGAGAUGUUGGGGUGCCUUCGGGAGCCGUGAGACAGGUGCUGCAUGGCUGUCGUCAGCUCGUGUCGUGAGAUGUUGGGUUAAGUCCCGUAACGAGCGCAACCCUUGUCCUUAGUUGCCAUCAGGUUAUGCU
rnacentral:rRNA from 1 species